CAGUCAGAUUUUGUGCUGCAAAACAUCCAUGACAGCUGUUGUCCAUGCUGGCAAAUAAUUAUGGUCACUCAACCACUUGAAUUAUAUACAUAAUUUUAAUAGCCCAGCCAUUCAAAAACCAUGGAUCUACCAUGUGCAUAGUAAAGCGAUCACUGACAGUCAUUUGGGGUGGGAAUUAAUGCAAACACGGAUAUCACAUACCAGUCAUGUCCAAAGUGAAUGUUAACACAGGACAAAAAAUCGAAUAUAGUCAAAAGAUCGGAUCAGUGCAUUAAGAAUUGCACUGUAAACACAGCCAUAUAGAAGAAAUUACUAAUCCAGGGAUCUCCUGGAGAGCAACCGUCCUGCAGAUUUCCGCUCCAACCCCAAUUAAACACCUGAACCAGCUAAUCAAGGUGAUCAGGGCUACUUGAUAAUUACAGAUAGGUGUGUUGGAACUGAAGUAUGCAGGAUAGUAGCUCUCCAGAAGCAGGGACCAGAGCAGAAAUCCCGCUGAGGAGAUUCGCUCCUAGCUGACAGAGGGCGAGGAGGCCACGUGUCAGGACCCAGCACCGCUUUUGUAUAAAUUGAAUUCACCAUUUAGGUUUAAACUUUAGUUUUUGUUCUUUUAAUACUGUU